UACGUAGGUGGCAAGCGUUGUCCGGAAUUACUGGGUGUAAAGGGGGCGCAGGCGGGUGAACAAGUCAGCGGUGAAAUACAUGGGCUUAACUCAUGGGCUGCCGUUGAAACUGUACAUCUUGAGUGGAUCAGAGGCAAGCGGAAUUCCGAGUGUAGCGGUGAAAUGCGUAGAUAUUCGGAGGAACACCAGUGGCGAAGGCGGCUUGCUGGGGUCUAACUGACGCUGAGGCCCGAAAGUGUGGGGAGCAAAC
rnacentral:rRNA from 1 species